GACGAACGCUGGCGGCGUGCCUAACACAUGCAAGUCGAACGGAGUUGUUCCUUCGGGGACAACUUAGUGGCGAACGGGUGAGUAACGCGUGAGCAACCUGCCUCUGUGAGGGGAACAACGCAUGGAAACGUGCGCUAAUACCGCAUAACGCAUAUUGAUUGCAUGGUCGAUAUGUUAAAGCUUUAUGUGCUGAAAGAUGGCCUCGCGUCUGAUUAGCUAGUUGGUGGGGUAACGGCCCACCAAGGCGACGAUCAGUAGCCGGUCUGAGAGGAUGAACGGCCACAUUGGGACUGAGAUACGGCCCAGACUCCUACGGGAGGCAGCAGUGGGGAAUAUUGGGCAAUGGGGGAAACCCUGACCCAGCAACGCCGCGUGAAGGAAGAAGGCUUUCGGGAUUGUAAACCUCUGUCUUCGGGACGAAAUGACGGUACCCGAGGAGGAAGCCACGGCUAACUACGUG
rnacentral:rRNA from 1 species